CCAGAUCCCACUCUGUUCCUGGGGAUUCGCCCUUCCCACCAGAGCACCGCCAGAGUACCCAGUAGGGAAGGAGUGACAGAUGUGAACUUUGGAGAGGUAGCAUAACCGGAACUAUGCAGAACAAGCCGUAGCCUGCCUUUUUUCUCAUUGGGCAUCAUUAGCCUCUCCCCAUUUUCAAGCCACUAACUUGCAGCUGAGGAGAUCCUGCACCUGGCUGCCACUGUUGUCACAGCUACAAUGGCACCUGAUCCAGGAUAUGGAAAAUCUUAAGGAAGAUAUCCUAUUGGAGCUCAAGAAUAUGUGGACUUCUGUUACUGCCUAUGCCAACAAGGCAUUAUUCACUCACCUCAGCGAUGGUCUGCCCAGUAAUAUUUCAUCUUUAGAAACUUUUGGAGACCUUCCCUUCCUGAAUCAUUCUCAUUUUUAAUCAUACGAAUACAUAAGAAACCAUGUUGCAAAAGUCCUAUUAUACAAUUUCACCACUGAUAUACAACAAAUAUGCACUACGUUUCUGUUUUCUUUCACCAAAAAUAAAAAUAAUUAACCAUGAAUGUAA